UGCUCUUCUUCCCCAGUGUCUCCUUUGCAAUGGUUAGCAUUCAAGGAAGACAAAAGCUGCUGCAGUGAGUGGAGCCUGGUGUCCUAUUCUUGUAUUGCUGAUGGAGAAGGCUGUCAAGAUCUGAACAAUCUGCUGCUCUGUGGAUGGGAUCUGCAUUUCUUCAGCUGUGCUGAGGAAAAGGAAGAACCAACUUCUGGUAUUGAAGCAGUUAUGAGAAGGACAACAUUUGGAGGACCAAACCAGGUAUCCAUUGCUGGGAGGUCAGAAUCCCUGUAGGUGCCACCAAGGGCCAUUUCCUUGGGAUUGGUGUGGCUGAGGCAGACUGAGAUGAGGCUGGAGCCGGACUCGAUGACCCUCAGGGGGUCCACUCCAACUAUAUGCUAUGACUCUAUGAGAUGUGGCAGCAGCUCUCCCUCAUCUCUGCCCUUUUGGUUGAUUGCUGCCUUCCCAGCAGUGCCCCUGGGAUGUUUCCCAUCUGCUGGAUUGCUUUGCUUAGAACCCAGUGGAAAUCUCUUGGAGCAGAAAUACUUUUUUCCAUUAGAAGACUGCUUUCAUGAGCUUGUGGAUGAAGGUUGGAGGGCUCCUCCAUGCCCAGCGUGGUUAGCAAAUGUGUUGUCAGCCUGUAGUUCCUCACAGACAAACACUGCAAUGAAAAAGGAGGAACAGACCAACAGACAGACCACCAACACGACAGACCAAAUCCUGGCCAUUGGAAAUAACAAAAGUGAAGUCUCUGGGGAGGUUCCAGUCCACGGGAAUGCUGUUAGGAGCUUUAUCUUGGCUUUCUACUGCUACCUCCUGCUGUGGUUCGUGUUGAGGAGGAACAAGAGCUACUGCACUGGUGUGGGCAAGAAGAGCCAAUGGGCACAAGCCAUUGACUGCAGGGUUUGGGCUGUAGGCACGAAUCUCCCCGAGGAGGCAGCCCAUGUGGGGCAGGAGAUGUUGGCUGCAUCCAGAUGGGUGCUGAGCCAUCCUCCUCCUGCCACCGCUCACCGUCGGGGUGCUGACCCGUGCCCGGGGCUGCGUGGACCAGUUCAGGUGCCUACGCUGCAACUUCCAUCC
ensembl:lncRNA